ensembl:lncRNA
GAAGCAUUAGGCUCUCGCUCUGAUAUGCGCUUCUGAACACCUGAGUAAGCACCACUCAUUGCACUGGCGCCGUCGUAGCCUUGACCACGGCAUUUGUUCACCCCUUUCAAUCAGUUAAAUAUUUUCUUUUCCAAGGCCUGAGGCACUCUUUAAGUCACAUUCCUGAAGCCCAAGAAACUAACACUUAGCUUCCUAGAACAUAUGGAAAUGAAAAAGGUUUAUGAAUGACGUUUUGGAGGUUUACUGUCAAAAUGAUUUCUUCAAUGAAACAAAUAGACGUGGACACCAGGUGGUGGGCCCUCUGAGCUCAUGGGCCCCCUACCUUGUGGGGGCCUGCUGGGGUGUCCGGUAUGCCAGUGACAUGCACACCUGCACAUACACAUUACACACACUCUCAAACUCAUUCAUAAGGAGAGGAGAUGUGGAACAUAAUGAGUUAUUCUUAUUGUGAAGACCUUCUCUCUCUCUUGAGCUCAGGUAUGUUAUUUUUGUGAACGAGAAGAGAAGCUGCAGCUGAGAGAGGAGCACCCGGACCUCCCCUUCACUGAGAUCAGCCGCAUGCUGGGGCUGCAGUGGUCCCAACUGGGCCCCAACGACAAGCAGAAGAAGAACCAAGAGGCAGAGAAGGACAAGCAGCAUGACAUCACAGGGCUGACAGACUACCAGAACACUGAGGCAUACAAAGACUUCCUGCGGAAGAAAGCCCUGAGCAGGGGACCAAAGCUCUGUGGACCCCAGGGAGCUGACACUGAGAUGGAGGAGGAGACCAUGGCUCCGGAUCCCAUAGAUAUCUCUCUCAGGGGUCUGACUGUAGUGAUUUGUUCUGUCAUACCUGUAAUCAGUACUUCAGCUCUCUUCUGCACAACAAGAAAGAACACCUUCUGGGCAAACAACAUCUGCAGGCCCUCACAG